UGACGCAAGCUGGCAGUUAGAAAUGGGAAGCUGAAAUCUGCUGCCUGGGAAUGGCAGUUGGGACCUGAAAGACAGCCUGGGAGGAGAAGUGGCGGGAGGAGCUGACACCUGGGGACUGAGCUCCGAGCUCCCAUCAGGGGAACAAUUUUGGAUCAAGGAGCUUAAAGACAACUGCUGAUGGGUGAGAAAGGAAUAUCCUGGACCACAAGGCAAGAGAAGAAACCCUGGGCUUUGAAGGCAAAAUUCUAUAAUGAGCAAGUUGGCAAAACAGUAGAGAAUGGAAAUAACUGUCCAAAAGUCCCAGCAACGUAGUAGCAGAGCUUGGAUGAGAAUCAUGAGCUCCCCAACUCCUCAGUCCAGGGACUUCUCAUUCUAUUAAGGCAAAUGCCUUCAAGACUGUGGCCCAUACAUGGGCAUCAGGUCUUUGAGUUUUGGGGAAGAAGUAAUCUAGCACAUGCUGCCCUUCAAUAAGAUCACAACCCAAGUCACAGAUGUGUGGAGCUGAAAUGGCCUUUUUCUGGUCAUCCAAACCAAGCCCAUCACUGUCCAGAAGAGAAAAUGAAUGCCUUUAUCUGCUUGCUUGUAAAACUCACCAAGUUAGUACUCUCAAAAAUAGCUUGGCCACAGAAUGCCCAUCCUGCUGACACAAAAACCUUUCUAUGGCUCACAUUAAAUUCUGCUCAAUUCAAGAAACACUAAGCAUGGUGGAGAGAUGGCCUGGAUCAAGAUGCUGGGAAGAGUUGGGUCCAAGUCUUGCCUCUUGACACACAGGAGACAUGUGGUUUCACCUCAGUGCCCAGGCAACUCUGUAGGACUAGAAGCUGUGGAACAAAUGCUGAUCUUCAUUGGUGAUGGGAGUUUUCUCACCGAAAGUCGUCUAUACCAGUGAAGUCACAGGUGUAGACUUGGACAGGUUCCUGUCUCACUGGAGAAGCAGCACGGUAUGGUAGGCAGAGAGAGCAGACCCAAAUGCAAGUUCUACUACAUGACCCUGGACAAGUCACUUGACUUCUCUGUGCUGUAGACCAGAGGUGUCACACUUGCCACACUUGCCCCUUCCCCCCAGGCACCAGCAAAACUAAGGAGUGUGCCCUCAAAUCACAUUAAAAAGUAAUUAGGAAAUUUUUAGCAAAUUCAACAAAAUUAGCAAAAAUCAACAAAAAUACAAAACAACAUAAUGUUGAUUUGUAGUUUUCUAAGUUAAUGUGGCCAGCAAAUUCCUGUUUUAUUUGAGUUUGACCCUACUGCUCUAGAUCACUCUCUAUAAGUUGCAGGGAAGGUAGAAAUAGAUUCUCUAUACAUUGAAUCCAUGGAUACUAUCCCCAGAACAUAUACAGCACUGGCAUUGUGCUAUAUAUAGGGAAAUCAAGAAAAAAAAACCAAGAUAAUUUCUAUCCUCAAAGAGCUUACAUUUUAUUGGAAAUAGGAAAUUUGUAGGGUACUCUUCAAUGUACAUAAAACUAUAAAAACAAAUACAAUGAAGAAAUACCACUGGAACAAGAGUUGGUAGCGACACUGUGAAGUCACCUUUACAAGAAAAAGCCAAAUCAAUGUUAUUUGAUCAGGUAGCCUCCACCCUCCCAUCAUCUCCAAAUGCUGUUUUUACAUCCGCAACACUUUGGAUGAAUGGAUUGGAUCUGGACAGGGUCUAGUCUCUGAUAUCACUAACUAGCUAUGCUGUCUCUGGCAAGACAAUAAUUUUUCUAGGCCCCAGGUUAUUUAAAACUUGGAGGGUAUUGGACUAGAUGAUUACUAAAACUUUCCAACUUUUGUAAUUUCAAAGUUUUCUUGAUCCUCUGAUGUCCCAUGUUAUACCCUCAAGAUUACUAAAUUCUUUCAUCUCUUUAGAAUAAAAAUCAGAACCUCC